GGGACUGCCGGUGACAAACCGGAGGAAGGUGGGGAUGACGUCAAGUCCUCAUGGCCCUUAUAGGUGGGGCUACACACGUCAUACAAUGGCCGGUACAGAGGGUAGCCAACCCGCGAGGGGGAGCCAAUCCCACCAAAGCCGGUCGUAGUCCGGAUCGCAGUCUGCAACUCGACUGCGUGAAGUCGGAAUCGCUAGUAAUCGCGGAUCAGCAUGUCGCGGUGAAUACGUUCCCGGGUCUU
rnacentral:rRNA from 1 species